CGGGUCUUGCGUGCUAAACCCACCGGAACCCAUUUACUUCAAAAAAAAAACUCAGUUCGACCCUUUCCGUCAUUCAGCAACCACAAAAAACGCAACCCGGAAUCUGAGCACAGCAACCUCUCUUCUUAACUUUUCUUUUCCGUCACCGAAAACCCAAAUCUCUCUCUCUCUCUCUCUCUCUGCGCGCCCAAUUUCUCAAGAGAUUAGUUCAGCACCAACCGACUCAGUAUCCUACAUCUGAGGAGUUAAGCAUUGGGAAAAUCAAGUUCAAGGCUUCUGUUUCGCAGAGAUUGCUCGCAAAGUUUGGAAAGACUACUAUGCCAAGGUAUUAUUGACGAUAUAAUGUAAGAUGAUAUACUGAUAAGGCAACUGGUUUUCGGUUGUGUCGAUUGUUUCAUUGUUUGUGGUCAAUGGGAGGCAUGGUUCUUGUAUUUGGCCACUAGUUAUUGCAGAAAUUAAGGAUUAAAGGUCCAGAGUCAAUUUCAA